GACGAACGCUGGCGGCGUGCUUAACACAUGCAAGUCGAACGGUGAAGCGCCUUCCUUUUUGGUGGGUGUGGAUGAGUGGCGAACGGGUGAGUAACACGUGAGUAACCUGCCCCCUUCUUCUGGAUAACCGCAUGAAAGUGUGGCUAAUACGGGAUAUUCUGGGUCUGUCGCAUGAUGGGUCUGGGAAAGAUAUUGUUUCGGUGGGGGAUGGGCUCGCGGCCUAUCAGCUUGUUGGUGGGGUGAUGGCCUACCAAGGCGGUGACGGGUAGCCGGCCUGAGAGGGUGGACGGUCACACUGGGACGGAGACACGGCCCAGACUCCGACGGGAGGCAGCAGGGGGGAAUAUUGCACAAUGGGCGCAAGCCUGAUGCAGCGACGCCGCGGGAGGGAUGGAGGCCUUCGGGUUGUGAACCUCUUUCGCCAGUGAAGCAGGCCUGCCUCGUUUGUGGGUGGGUUGACGGUAGCUGGAGAAGAAGCGCCGGCUAACUACGUG
rnacentral:rRNA from 1 species